CAGAAUGAUGUGGACAUAGCUGAUGUGGCUCAUUAUUUUGAAAAAGAUGUUAAAGGUGAAUCCUUGUUUCAUUCUUCUAAGAAAAUGGACCUGAGAGUAAAUGGAGAACAACUGGAUCUGGAUCCUGGUCAAACUUUAAUUUAUUAUGUUGAUAGAAAUGCACCUGAAUUUUCAAUGCAGGCUCUAAAAGCUGGUGUUUGUGCUGUUAUUGUGGUUGUGAUGAUAGCAGUUGUUGCUGGAAUUGUUGUGCUGGUUAUUUCCAGAAAGAAGAGAAUGGCAAAGUAUGAGAAGGCUGAGAUAAAGGAGAUGGGUAGGAUGCAUAGGGAACUCAAUGCA
rnacentral:lncRNA from 1 species